AACUAAGUGAUUAUCCGCAGGGGUCACCAACAUGGUAUCCUGUGGGCAUGUUCUCAAAGUAGCUCAAAAAUGAUGGGACACUGUGAUUUCCAGGGGAGUAGUGUACAAAAGAUCAUUUGAAACUAAACACUUUAAGUGUUGCAUGUUGCUAUUUAACUGUUUCCAACCUUGAUCAUUGUGAGAAAUCCUUCACAUAAUCGUCUUCAUUUACAUUAUUGUUAUUAUUAUUGUAAUAUCAUUCAUUUUUGAGAAAUUAUUUUUUUGUGAAAAAUAGGCCAGUUUUGGCAUUUUUCCCCAUUACAACAGCAGACAAUAUUAACUUCAACCACCCCAUAAAGAUUGUAGGAUUUUUACCCAUGUAAUACUAAGUAUUGUCAAACUGAUCUGACUGUAAUUCAUAUCUUUAGUGAUCUAAGUGUUCAGGAAUGCAAAAAACAACACAAUUUAUUCCUUAUAUAAAUAUGUUUUAAUUGGCUGAUUAAUCGGUUAUCAGAAAUGUGUUCUGCCAAACAUUAAAAUCAACAUCGGUCUUUAUUUUAAUU